rnacentral:rRNA from 1 species
AUUGAACGCUGGCGGCAUGCCUUACACAUGCAAGUCGAACGGUAACAGGUUUUCGGUUGCUGACGCGUGGCGUACGGGUGAGUAAUACAUCGGAACGUGCCCGAUCGUUGGGGUUAACGAAUCUAAAGCUUUGCUAAUACCGCAUAAGAUCUACGGAUGAAAGCAGUGGACCUCAAGGCCUUUCUCGAACGUAGCGGCCGAUGGAAGAUUAGGUAGUUGGUGGGUUAAAAGCUUACCAAGCCGACGAUCUGUAGCUGGUCUGAGAGGACGACCAGCCACACUGGGAGUGAGACACGGCCCAGACUACUACGGGAGGCAGCAGUGGGGAAUUUUGGACAAUGGGCGAAAGCCUGAUCCAGCAAUGCCGAGUGCAGGAUGAAGGCCUUCGGGUUGUAAACUGCGUUUGUAAGGAACGAAAAGAAUCAGGUUAAUACCUGGGGUGAAUGACGGUAACGGAAGAAUAAGCAACGGCUAACUACGUG